rnacentral:sRNA from 1 species
UGUAGCCUAGUUUGUUUAUAAUUAAUUU